GUGAUGAUGGCAGAGAGGUCACACCCGUUCCCAUACCGAACACGGAAGUUAAGCUCUCUAGCGCCGAUGGUAGUUGGGACCUUGUCCCUGUGAGAGUAGGACGUCGCCAAGC
rnacentral:rRNA from 2 species